rnacentral:rRNA from 1 species
GAGACUCUGUGCGCGUGCAUAUCAAUAAGCGGAGGAAAAGAAACUAACAAGGAUUCCCUAGUAACGGCGAGUGAAGCGGGAAGAGCUCAAAUUUGAAAUCUUAAAGGUUUCCCUUGACGAAUUGUAGUUUAUAGAAGUGUUUUCUGUAGUGGAGUUCGGUAAAAGUUCUUUGGAAUAGGACAUCAUAGAGGGUGAGAAUCCCGUAUUUGACCGUUACUUCCUAGCUGUGUGAUACACUUUCGAAGAGUCGGAUUGUUUGGGAAUGCAGUCCAAAAUGGGUGGUAAAUUUCAUCUAAAGCUAAAUAUUGGCGAGAGACCGAUAGCGAACAAGUACCGUGAGGGAAAGAUGAAAAGAACUUUGAAAAGAGAGUUAAACAGUACGUGAAAUUGUCAAAAGGGAAGCGUUUGACACCAGUGUUGUUUAGUUGAAAAUCAAUUCAAUAAUUUUUGAUUUUGAGUAGUAUUGACUUCAUCAGCUUGCUGCUUUCUUUUCCGAAAUUAUUGAAUGCACUUUUCAGUUAACAAGUCAACAUCAAUUUCUUUUGUUGUAAAAGGGUAAGAGGAAGGUGGCUUACGCUUCGGCGUAAGUGUUUAUAGCCUUUUACCUCUGCAAUCGGAGAGAUUGAGGACAGCAGCGUAGACUCCUUCGGGGGUUAGAUACACUUGUGCUAAGCUAUAGCCUUGUAUAGACAACUUGUUGACUAUGCUCAGUCAUGUAGCUUACUCGCUUGUGCUAUUUUACCUACGCUUAGGAUGUUGACAGCAGUAUAGACUGU